AUGCCUUCCACCCUCCUUUCAGACGACCUGCGGUGUUGUACGUGCACGUUAGGAAAUAAAGCGAUAAAACCAGUACGUUGCUUCCGCUUCUUUGUGCAGGAAGUUUGGGCCCUGCAGCCUCACGUGUCCCGGCCGGCCCCCCACCUGUGUCCCUGGCCGUGUCCUCGGGCGCGGCUCCCGGUCUCCACCCAGGGCACAGCUGGGGCUGGAACCCUGGAGAACCCCUGGCGCAGGUCCCUCUUCAUCCAGAGCCCGCGUGGACCCUUGCUCAGGGGGUGGGACGGGAGAGUAGAGGAGCAGCAGCGGCGCCCCUGGUGUCUGGGCGGGCGGGAUGGGAGCCCAGGGGCAGGAGCAGGGUGGCCUUGCCCCCUCCCCGCCAGCCGUGUGUCCCUGGGCAUUUCCCCACGAGUCUUCCUCAGGCAUGUAGGGGCCUUGCGGCUCCACAGGCCAGGCCCCGGGGGUGGCUCCGAAGAGAACGGCAGUGGGAGAGGCAGCCUUGCAAGUAGGACUGCGCGCACUUCAGGGUCACGCUCCCUCCUCCUCAUGCGGCCGUUGCUUGCGGACCCCAGGGUGGCGUCACGCUGUCCUUCGGGUCCUGAGUCUGUCCCUGUCACCUGUACCCCGCAGUCUGCACCCGUGGCUCAGGGACGGACCCAGGCUCCUCCUCGAGUCCCGUCCCCCCCGUCCUCGCAGCCGCAUCCGGGCUGCAGCUCCUGCGGGCAGAACUCUGGGCCACACGCGGUCGGAUGUUCCGGGCACACGGCCUCUGAGCGUCCGGGCUGCUCCGCAGUGCUACUUCCCGGCCUCGCGGGACCUCGGACUCGGGGAAACACGGACAUGGCCUCGUUUAAAUAUUUGCCACCGUUUCAGGCUCUGCCUUGGGACAGGCCACCAUUACAACCUAGCAGCUCCUUUAAUAAAAACCCAUUUAAUUGUCCUUUCCAAGAAUUCAUGGCCUUCCCCUUUUCCGUGUUUAUGCCUCUUCAUUCCGGGACGCUCUGGCAGCGUAAGGACGUCCGCGUCCUUCACUGGUGA
rnacentral:lncRNA from 12 species